CUCCACACAGACCCAGUUCAGAAUGAAGAAGGAUCAUUGAGGAGGCUGACUGAAGAGCCCCCGUGCAGGGUGAAGUCAUGAUGCUGGCAGUCGGUACCCCAUCAUCUCUUUCUGGUGGCGAAGGGGGAACGGAGGCCGUGGGACCCCAUGAGGGUCUGGUGAGCUUUGAGGAGCUGUCUGUGUCUUUCACGGAGGAGGAGUGGGCGCUGCUGGAUCCGGACCAGAGAGCUCUGCAU